GGGCGGUUGGCUCAGCCUGGUAGAGCGCUUCGUUCACACCGAAGAGGUCACUGGUUCAAGUCCAGUACCGCCCACCA
rnacentral:tRNA from 1 species